rnacentral:sRNA from 1 species
UUUCGUAAUCGACCGCCUACACUGAGAA